rnacentral:ncRNA from 1 species
CACCAGGUUGAUUCUGCCUGACGUAGACGCUAUUCCCUAAGAUUAACCCAUGCAUGUUUUUGACAUUUGAAAAAUGGACUGCUCAGUAAUACUCACUUUAUUUUAUGUAAAUUUUUAAUUAACUACGUUAAAGUGUAGAUAAGAUGUUUACAGUAAGAGUGAGACCUAUCAGCUAGUUGUUAAGGUAAUGGCUUAACAAGGCUGUGACGGGUAACGGUAUUACUUUGUAAUAUUCCGGAGAAGGAGCCUGAGAGACGGCUACUAAGUCUAAGGAUUGUGCAGCAGGGGCGAAACUUGACCUAUGGAUUUUAUCUGAGGCAGUUAUGGGAAGUAAUAUUAUAUUGUUUCAUAUUUUAAAAGUAUAUGAGGUGAUUAAUUGGAGGGCAAAUCAAGUGCCAG